rnacentral:piRNA from 1 species
UAAAAUGCAGGUUACAUGUGUCUAC